rnacentral:rRNA from 1 species
AGAGUUUGAUCCUGGCUCAGGAUGAACGCUGGCGGCGUGCUUAACACAUGCAAGUCGAACGGACUUUACAUGAAGCCUAGCGAAUGUAAAGUUAGUGGCGGACGGGUGAGUAACGCGUGGGUAACCUGCCGUAUACCGGGGGAUAACACUUAGAAAUAGGUGCUAAUACCGCAUAAGCGCACGGUUUCGCAUGAAACAGUGUGAAAAACUCCGGUGGUAUACGAUGGACCCGCGUCUGAUUAGCUAGUUGGUGAGGUAACGGCCCACCAAGGCGACGAUCAGUAGCCGGCCUGAGAGGGUGAACGGCCACAUUGGGACUGAGACACGGCCCAAACUCCUACGGGAGGCAGCAGUGGGGAAUAUUGGACAAUGGGGGAAACCCUGAUCCAGCGACGCCGCGUGAGUGAAGAAGUAUUUCGGUAUGUAAAGCUCUAUCAGCAGGGAAGAAAAUGACGGUACCUGACUAAGAAGCCCCGGCUAACUACGUGCCAGCAGCCGCGGUAAUACGUAGGGGGCAAGCGUUAUCCGGAUUUACUGGGUGUAAAGGGAGCGUAGACGGUUAAGCAAGUCUGAUGUGAAAACCCGGGGCUCAACUCCGGGAUUGCAUUGGAAACUGUUAAACUUGAGUGCAGGAGAGGUAAGUGGAAUUCCUAGUGUAGCGGUGAAAUGCGUAGAUAUUAGGAGGAACACCGGCGGCGAAGGCGGCUUACUGGACUGUAACUGACGUUGAGGCUCGAAAGCGUGGGGAGCAAACAGGAUUAGAUACCCUGGUAGUCCACGCGGUAAACGAUGAAUACUAGGUGUUGGGAGACAAAAGUCUUUCGGUGCCGCAGCAAACGCAAUAAGUAUUCCACCUGGGGAGUACGUUCGCAAGAAUGAAACUCAAAGGAAUUGACGGGGACCCGCACAAGCGGUGGAGCAUGUGGUUUAAUUCGAAGCAACGCGAAGAACCUUACCAAAUCUUGACAUCCUGAUGACCAUCCGGGUAACGCCGGACUCUCUUCGGAGCAUCAGAGACAGGUGGUGCAUGGUUGCCGUCAGCUCGUGUCGUGAGAUGUUGGGUUAAGUCCCGCAACGAGCGCAACCCCUAUUCUCAGUAGCCAGCGGUCCGGCCGGGCACUCUGGGGAGACUGCCAGGGAUAACCUGGAGGAAGGCGGGGACGACGUCAAAUCAUCAUGCCCCUUACGGUCUGGGCUACACACGUGCUACAAUGGCGGUCACAAAGGGAAGCGAGCCUGCGAGGGGGAGCAAAUCCCAAAAAAGCCGUCCCAGUUCGGAUUGUAGUCUGCAACUCGACUGCAUGAAGCUGGAAUCGCUAGUAAUCGCGAAUCAGAAUGUCGCGGUGAAUACGUUCCCGGGUCUUGUACACACCGCCCGUCACGCCAUGGGAGUUGGAUAUGCCCGAAGUCAGUGACCUAACCCUUUCAGAAGACACAAACCGCGAGGGUUGCAGAACGGAGUUCUGCAACAUCCGAAAAAAGAAUACGGAAACGUGUGUCUUGUGAAAGGGGGAGGAGCUGCCGAAGGUGGAGCCAAUGACUGGGGUGAAGUCGUAACAAGGUAGCCGUAUCGGAAGGUGCGGCUGGAACACCUCCUU